GCGUUGACGUAGCGUCCGGGCGCCCGUGAGGGCCCAGGGAAGGCGGUGCGAAUCCGCCGCGACCCCGUCACUGUGAUCGGGGACGAAACCCGCGAGGAAGCCACUGGCCCGUACGGCCGGGAAGGCGCGGGGAGUAGGACGAUCCGAGAGCCAGGAGACCUGCCCGGGUGCGUAUCUACGA
rnacentral:ncRNA from 2 species